CCAAAAUGCCAUCCCGAACAGAAAUGCCACUUCCUCUUCUUCCUCCAUCCUGCGCGUGAAGAGCUCGCCUGCGGCCAUGGCUAGCUCCCUCCCUGCCAUCGCCGCCGCACGGGCAGCGGAGCCCGCGGCGCAGUGGCGACUCUUCGGUUGACGGCGGCUGGCUACGCGGUGGCAACGAGGAGGCGGCGGCGGCCAGGAGCUGCUCCACCGGCCCCACGCGCACGCGCGCCGGCGGGAUCCGCGCGUCGUCGCCGGAGUCCUUCCGCGACGACCUCAGCUGCACAGGCGUUGGCGGGGAUGGCAGGGAGGGCAGCGCCCCGAUCGCCGUCGGCAAGGCGGCAUCGGCGCGGCGGUGGAGAUGGCCAUGGCCGCCGGCGAGCUCUUCACGCGCGGGACGGAGGAAGAAGAAGAGCCAGGGGCAUUUCCGUCUGGGAUGGCAUUUUGGCGAAGACACCUGGUUGAGGAUGAUAUGCAAUUUUCUCACUUUUACGGGGUGGGUGGGCUAAAAAGUGGAGCCACGCUGACACGCACGCGCCGUUCGCCGCCGGCAUCUUCCCGGCGAUCUGCUCCGGCUCCGGUGGGCACCUCCUCGACGGUACGCAGCCACUGCCCCCUCCGCGUAUUUCUUCCUAUUGGUUAUCUCCAGUUUUCCGGCGAGCGCACUCGCGCGCGCCGGAUACCUUGUGGACGAUCUGGAAACUCUGCACGCUGCCAGGAGGCUAGCGGAGUAGUGGAGGAGGGCGUGGUGAGGGUCGGGAGGCAGGGAUGGAGUUGGACGGGGAGACGAGGUGUAGCACCGGCGCUGAGGUUUGAUGGUACUUCUCCUGCAUCUACGACCCCGAGUUUGCUCAGUUGCUGUCUUGCGGGAACAGGCAGUUUCUCAUUCAUGGAUAAUCUGAGGAAGUCAGAUGGAUUGAUGUCUCAUGGCUGUGAAUUUUCAGUGUCUCUGGCGAUUUGCUGUUUUUCGUGUUCUUAUCAGAAUACAUGAGCUUAUCUCUGAAGAGAUUGCAAAGGGCAAUAUUAACCGUAUUCGAUUCCUUCUAUUUGCAGGUCCGAAAUCCAAAUUAAAGAACCACGAGUGCACAGAAGAUUGAAUCCCAUGAUUGAUUAUCUCAUUAUCAACUGUCGUCUUCUGAUCAUAUGUAUAUCUGCUAGCUGUGAUAUUGUUAGUCUCCAUGGUGUGUUUCCUAGUUGGCCUCGUAACAUCAGAAUCCCCCCAGUAUUAUCUACCUGAUUUAGUGGCCUCUCUGAUCGACAGAACUUAAUGUAAGCAGCGGCUAACUGAUAAAAUAUUUGCACAGGACAUAUGUGGAACUAAGUACGCGAUUCAUGGCAUGUUUAAUUUUUCUAGGAACUACCAUUGCUUUCAUCUACUCCAAUGCAUUGUUCUUGCAAAGGGAAUAUAGCCUUUUUUAGCUCACGAACAUGUGAGCACACAGCCACACAACACGGAGGAUGCAGAUGUUUAGGGAGGAGAAAAAGGCUACAGAUUCUUUCGUAAUCCACCCUGUCCUUUGUUCUUUUCCUGCCAUUCGGAAUUUAGUGGUGACCCAAUGACAAAGACCUUUCCAGUGUUUCCAAUUCCAAGGCUGCAAGUAUUACCGUGAAUCUUUCUGUGGAGCCUAUGAUGAUUAACCAUCUGGAAUUAAUGCAUACCACAUACCAGUCUUUCAAUGGUGAAAUUGAGCAAGGGAUCUGCUGCAAACUUUUGUGGCCAUGUGGGGUUUUACCUGAAAUUUCAGAUUGGCUUUGCCUUGUCAUCAGCUUCGUCAUUUUGUCGUUCAGGGGACUGUUUAAAUGAACUGCCAUUUGUGAGGUUUCUCCUGAAGGACCGGAUUGGAGGCCAACCGACUACUGGAGGAAUAGCACCUCUACAUCAAAUUAAAGCACUGGUAAAUGAUGGGUUUAUUCAUUUAUUUUUGGAAAAAUUGGGAGUCUGCGUAUGUAGGUGGCGUAAAUCAUAAACCCAUAAUUAAAAGAACACACUGUUCCACUGAUGGAAAGCAUAUCAUUACUUAACCAAUAAACAAUGGUUUGAGCCACAAUGAGUACUAGCCACAGAAAGUAACUACGUGGUUGAUUAAAAGACAACCUUUUGGCAA